UACGAAGGGGGCUAGCGUUGCUCGGAAUCACUGGGCGUAAAGGGUGCGUAGGCGGGUCUUUAAGUCAGGGGUGAAAUCCUGGAGCUCAACUCCAGAACUGCCUUUGAUACUGAAGAUCUUGAGUUCGGGAGAGGUGAGUGGAACUGCGAGUGUAGAGGUGAAAUUCGUAGAUAUUCGCAAGAACACCAGUGGCGAAGGCGGCUCACUGGCCCGGUUCUGACGCUGAGGCGCGAAAGCGUGGGGAGCAAACGGG
rnacentral:rRNA from 1 species